GUAGAGACGCUGACGCGGGAGGGAGCUAUGUGGGCAAUCUGUGUGCAUGCAAUCGAACAUAUGAGAUCCGUUCCCGUGGGUACGGACGGCCCAGAUUGCAUCGCGCACAGACGAUGCAGAUUGAAUCACAUACGGACGGUCCAGAUUCAUUCCCUAUUUAAUCGCGAUAGGCCGGUCAAGAUUAAAAGCGAUGGACGGCUCAGAUCAAAAGCGGAUGGGUAUAAAUAACCUCAUCUGUACCCAAAUCCUAACCCUAGUUGCCAGAGCCCAUCGCCGGAGAAG
rnacentral:lncRNA from 1 species